AUUGAACGCUGGCGGAAUGCUUUACACAUGCAAGUCGAACGGUAGAGGGGGCAACCCCUCGAGAGUGGCGAACGGGUGAGUAAUAUAUCGGAACGUGCCCAGUCGUGGGGGAUAACGUAGCGAAAGUUACGCUAAUACCGCAUACGAUCUACGGAUGAAAGCGGGGGAUCGCAAGACCUCGCGCGAGUGGAGCGGCCGAUAUCAGAUUAGGUAGUUGGUGGGGUAAAGGCUCACCAAGCCAACGAUCUGUAGCUGGUCUGAGAGGACGACCAGCCACACUGGAACUGAGACACGAUCCAGACUCCUACGGGAGGCAGCAGUGGGGAAUUUUGGACAAUGGACGCAAGUCUGAUCCAGCCAUUCCGCGUGCAGGAUGAAGGCCCUCGGGUUGUAAACUGCUUUUGUACGGAACGAAAAGGUUUCCAUUAAUACUGGGAGCUCAUGACGGUACCGUAAGAAUAAGCACCGGCUAACUACGUGCCAGCAGCCGCCGCAG
rnacentral:rRNA from 1 species